UGACUAUCACUUACCCAGUAUCGAGUUGACGCGCGGAUCGAUGCCGAGAAGGUUGAGCGGACUGACGGCAAGGGCGAGCACGCGGUAGGCGCACUUGAAUGCCUGUUGCACCUGGAAGACGCCGUAGCUGCUUCGACCGAUAUCAUUGCCUGGCGUCAGCGGAUCCUCGAUGCACAGGAGCGAGGGUCGAUGGCCAUCGACCAUGUCACGCUGCAGCUCAUCCUUGGGCAUGUAGCGGCCACCGUUCUUUAUGGAGAUGCCGAUCUUCAUGUAGUUGAAGCGACGUCCAUAAAGUUCGAAGAACUCGAGGAGAAGCACCCCCAGAUUGGCUGUAUCGUGGUAGAUACCGCGCGGAUGCAUCUGCAGGAAGCUGAUGCACAUAAGGAUCAGCGAGUAGGAGGAGAUGCCGCCCGUGAACACCUCGUUGAGAUCGCGAAGUAGUAAGAACUGCUUCAGCACAAGCACUAGCUUCUCCAGCACUGGAUAGUCGCGCUUAAACUUCUUAAUCAGCUCCGCCGACUGAACACCACUCUGCAUGUUGAACGAUAUGUCUACCUUCACUUGCGUUUCCCGGUCCGUCAGCUUGAUGAUGGGCACUGAUGCCUUGUCCAGAACACGCACCGUACAAGCCUCGGCGAUACCACGGCUCACUAGCUCGAACUCCAGCGUUCUCAGCGGCAGCUUCUCCCACAAACCUGAAAGUAAAUUGAAGAGAUUAGGAUAAGAUAAUAAAGCCAAUGCAUAAAUAAAAAGUCAAUGCAUGUGGGGGCC
ensembl:ncRNA asRNA:CR46195 antisense RNA:CR46195